rnacentral:rRNA from 1 species
CGUGCCUAACACAUGCAAGUCGAACGCGAAAGCAGUCUUCGGAUUGUUAUUAGAGUGGCAGACGGGUGAGUAACACAUAGGUAAUCUAUCUUUGAGAGUGGGACAACUAAUCGAAAGGUUAGCUAAUCCCGUAUAAUAUCUUGUUAUGUAAGUAAUAAGAUCAAAGGGUGGGACCCUUCGGGGCCACUUGCUUAAAGCGGAGCCUAUGUCCUAUUAGUUAGUUGGUAAGGUAAUGGCUUACCAAGACGAUGAUGGGUAGCCGAGCUGAGAGGCUGACCGGCCACACUGGAACUGAAACACGGUCCAGACUCCUACGGGAGGCAGCAGUGGGGAAUUUUGCGCAAUGGGCGAAAGCCUGACGCAGCGACGCCGCGUGAGGGAUGAAGGUUCUCGUGAUUGUAAACCUCUGUCAGGAAGGAUUAAAUGUUUAUGCGUUUAAUAACGUGUAUUCUUGACUUAACUUCCAAAGGAAGCCCCGGCUAACUACGUG